AGGGGAGUGAAAAAGAACCUGAAACCGUGUACGUACAAGCAGUGGGAGCACGCUUAGGCGUGUGACUGCGUACCUUUUGUAUAAUGGGUCAGCGACUUAUAUUCUGUAGCAAGGUUAACCGAAUAGGGGAGCCGAAGGGAAACCGAGUCUUAACUGGGCGUUAAGUUGCAGGGUAUAGACCCGAAACCCGGUGAUCUAGCCAUGGGCAGGUUGAAGGUUGGGUAACACUAACUGGAGGACCGAACCGACUAAUGUUGAAAAAUUAGCGGAUGACUUGUGGCUGGGGGUGAAAGGCCAAUCAAACCGGGAGAUAGCUGGUUCUCCCCGAAAGCUAUUUAGGUAGCGCCUCGUGAAUUCAUCUCCGGGGGUAGAGCACUGUUUCGGCAAGGGGGUCAUCCCGACUUACCAACCCGAUGCAAACUGCGAAUACCGGAGAAUGUUAUCACGGGAGACACACGGCGGGUGCUAACGUCCGUCGUGAAGAGGGAAACAACCCAGACCGCCAGCUAAGGUCCCAAAGUCAUGGUUAAGUGGGAAACGAUGUGGGAAGGCCCAGACAGCCAGGAUGUUGGCUUAGAAGCAGCCAUCAUUUAAAGAAAGCGUAAUAGCUCACUGGUCGAGUCGGCCUGCGCGGAAGAUGUAACGGGGCUAAACCAUGCACCGAAGCUGCGGCAGCGACGCUUAUGCGUUGUUGGGUAGGGGAGCGUUCUGUAAGCCUGUGAAGGUGUACUGUGAGGUAU
rnacentral:rRNA from 1 species